UACGAAGGGGGCUAGCGUUGCUCGGAAUCACUGGGCGUAAAGCGCACGUAGGCGGAUGUUUAAGUCAGAGGUGAAAGCCUGGAGCUCAACUCCAGAACUGCCUUUGAUACUGGGCAUCUUGAGUCCGGAAGAGGUAAGUGGAACUGCGAGUGUAGAGGUGAAAUUCGUAGAUAUUCGCAAGAACACCAGUGGCGAAGGCGGCUUACUGGUCCGGUACUGACGGCUG
rnacentral:rRNA from 1 species